rnacentral:sRNA from 1 species
GCUAGGCGUGGUGAAGCACGCCUGUAAUCCCAGUGGCUUGGGAGGCUGAGGAAAGGGGAUCGCAAGUUCAAAACCAGCCUCAGAAAAAGUGAGGAGCUAAGCAACUCAGUGAGACCCUGUCUCUA